CGAGUAGAGCGAGGUCCUUCAGGCAUUAAUCAACUAAUUAUAUACCGAGCCGUGCGGUUUGGGAGGUUUUCUUUUGAUUGAUUUCUUGGCGUCAACAUCUAAUGUUAUUCGAGAUUCAGGUACAAAAUAUAUUAUGAGAAUUAAUCCAACGCCACAGCAAAUUGCAAAAGAAAAGAAUGGAACAUACAUUCCGUAUUCAUCUUUGGUGAACUGAAAAUACUUAGAGGAAAUUCCAGCAAAAGCAUAAUAAAACACAUCAGAAAUAGCGCCAGCAUAUGCUUUAACAUUCGUUGGGAAAAUCUCCGACCCAAUGAAGAGAGGCAUAGUUUGUAAUUGAGGCGGUAUCUAGUACCACUACAUCUCUCAUCAGGAAAAAUAUUCCUCCUCCUAGUAAAGUAACACCUGAUCCUACCGUGGAAGUUAUCAGUAAAGGCCUUCUUCCGAUUUUGU